UAGGGAAUAUUGCAAAAUGGGCGAAAGCCCGAUGCAGCAACGCCGCGUGGGCGAUGAAGGCCUUCGGGUCGUAAAGCCCUUUUUGAGGGGAUGAGGAAGGACAGUACCCUCAGAAUACGCCUCGGCUAACUACGUGCCAGCAGCCGCGGUAAAACGUAGGAGGCGAGCGUUAUCCGGAUUUACUGGGCGUAAAGCGCGUGCAGGCGGAUUGGAGAGUUGGAUGUGAAAGCUCCCGGCUUAACUGGGAGAGGUCGUUCAAUACUUCCAGUCUUGCGUGCAGUAGAGGGAAGUGGAAUUCCGGGUGUAGUGGUGAAAUGCGUAGAUAUCCGGAGGACACCAGUGGCGAAAGCGGCUUCCUGGACUGUAACUGACGCUCAGACGCGAAAGCUAGGGUAGCAAAC
rnacentral:rRNA from 1 species